rnacentral:rRNA from 1 species
AGAGUUCGAUCCUGGCUCAGGAUGGAUGCUGGCGGCAUGCUUAACACAUACAAGUCGGACAGGAAGUGGUGUUUCCAGUGGAGGACAAGUGAGUAACGCGUAAAAGCUACCCUUGGGAGGGACAACAGCUGAAAACAACUGCUAAUACCCCGUAGGCUGAGGAGCACAAGGAGGAAUCCGUCUAAGGAGGGCUCGCGUUUGAUUAGCUAGUUGGUGAGGCAGUAGCUUACCAAGGCAUCCAAGAGGAUGAUCAACUAUACUGGGGACUGAGACACAACCCAAACUCCUGUGGGAGGCAUCAGUGGGGAAUUUUCGAAUGGGUGAAAGGCCUGCGGGUCGUGAACUUCUUUUUCCGGAGAAGAAACAAUGACAGUAUCUGGGGAAUAAGCAUUGACUAACUUUGUGCUAGCAGUCGCAGUAAGAUAGAGGAUGCAAGCAUUAUCUAGAAUGAUUGGCGUAAAGCGACUGCAGGUGGUUUUUUCAAGUCCAACGUCAAAUCCCAGGGCUUAACCUUGGAAAGGCGGUGGAAACUUCCAAGCUGGAGUAAGGUAGGGGCAGAGGGAGUUUCUGGUGGAGCGGUGAAAUGCAUUGAGAUCGAAAAUAACACCAACAAUGAAAACACUCUGCUGGGCCAACACUGAUAGAGAGAGAAAACUAGGGGAGCAAAUGUAAUUAGAUACCGUAGUAGUCCUAGCUGUAAACGAUGGAUACUAGACGUUGUGCUUAUUGACCCGUGAAGUGCUGUAGCUAACAUUGUUAAGUGUCCCGCCUGCAGAGUGCAUUCACAAGAAUGAAACUCAAAAGAAUUGACGGGGUCCCGCACAACUAGUGGAGCACGUGGUUUAAUUUGAUAAAAAGCGAAGAACCUUUCUAGGGCUUGACAUUUCACGAAUCCUCUUUGGGUGCCUUCGGGAAUGCAGAUACAGGUGGUGCAUGGUUGUCAUCAACUCGUGCCGUAAGGUGUUGGGUUAAGUCCCGUAACAAGUGCAACCCUCGUGUUUAAUUUAUCUCUUGAGUUUGGAACCUUGCACAAACUGUCGGUGAUACGCCGGAGGAAGGUGAGCAUGACGUCAAGUCAUCAUGCCCCUUAUGCUCCGGGUGACACACGUGCUACAAUGGCUAGGACAAAGGGUGAGCUAAUCCCAAAACCCACCCUCGAUUCGGAUUGUAGGCUGCAACUCACCUGCAUGAAGCCGAAAUCGCUAGUACUUGUUGGUCAGCCAUACAACAAUGAAUUCGUUCAUGGGCCUUGUACACAUCGUACGUCACAUUAUGGGAGCUAGCCAUACCCGAAGUCGUUACCUUAACCGCAAGGAGGGGGAUGUCGAAGGCAGGGCUAGUGACUAGAGUGAAGUCGUAACAAGGUAGCCGUACCUAAGAUCCAUAUG